rnacentral:rRNA from 1 species
GAUGAACGCUAGCGGCAGGCUUAACACAUGCAAGUCGAGGGGUAUAGGUUUUCGGACCUAGAGACCGGCGUACGGGUGCGUAACGCGUAUGCAAUCUACCUUUCACAGAGGGAUAGCCCAGAGAAAUUUGGAUUAAUACCUCAUAGUAUAGCAGUUUCGCAUGAAACCACUAUUAAAGUUACAACGGUGAAAGAUGAGCAUGCGUCCCAUUAGCUAGAUGGUAAGGUAACAGCUUACCAUGGCUACGAUGGGUAGGGGUCCUGAGAGGGAGAUCCCCCACACUGGUACUGAGACACGGACCAGACUCCUACGGGAGGCAGCAGUGAGGAAUAUUGGUCAAUGGACGCAAGUCUGAACCAGCCAUGCCGCGUGCAGGAUGACGGUCCUAUGGAUUGUAAACUGCUUUUGUACGAGAAGAAACAACAUUACGUGUAAUGUCUUGACGGUAUCGUAAGAAUAAGGAUCGGCUAACUCCGUGCCAGCCGCCGCCGUAAGAC